rfam:Theobroma cacao cultivar Matina 1-6 chromosome 1, whole genome shotgun sequence.
AAGGCAUAAUGAGGAUGAAUUAUGAAAGUCUGAUUAACGUGAUGAUCAAUCACCUCCUACUCAUUCUGA